AUGCUCACUUUGGCAACACGUAUACUAAAACUGGAACGAUACAGAGAUUAGCAGGGCCCCUGCACAAGGAUGAAACGCAAAUUCGUGAAGUGUUCCAUAUUAAA